AGAAGUUUAGGAUAUAGUAAAGUCCAAGAGCCUUCAAAGCCCUUAGAAAACAAACAAGUUUAACUUCUG
rnacentral:tRNA from 1 species